ACAACACGCGAACAAAUUCGCCAUUUGUCCAUUGUAUGAUCGGUAAGUGUCUCCGCCACUGCCCCAUCUCAGGCGAACUCAAUGCAAGCGGCAGCACGCCGCAUCAUCCGCGUCGGGGCGAAGGCUUCAAAGACGGUGAAAAUCACGCAGAGGGAUGUGGUUACUUUUGGGGACCUCAUUCAAGACCACAACCCCAUUCAUAGCGAUGCGGCCGCUGCAAAGGCCGCCGGAUUCCCAUCCCCCAUAUGCUAUGGUAUGCUGGCCGGCUCUCUCUUUUCCGGCUUGAUGGCGACGGAAAUCCCGGGCCCGAACACGGUGUACGUAUCGCAGAGCCUGCGCUUUACAAGACCCAUCUUUGUUGGUGAUGAGCUGGAGGUGAUUGCCGAAGUCACCCAGUUCCGCCGCAACAAGGGGCUCAUUGAGAUGUCGACCAUCAUUCAGAAGGCAGACCCUAAGAACCCGAGCGAGAAGAUCAUCUGUAUUGAGGGGUUCUCGGUAGGAAUGAACAAGAUGGUGGACUUCGAAGGGGAGAGCGAGUGGACGCGUCGGCUUUAGCGCCGCGUUGCCGACGUUGGGAAGGAAACCCCCCAAGAACAACAUGCCUCUACACGUACAAAGUGCCGGGAUCACCCGAGCGAAGGGUGAUUCACAGAGGCAGCAAAAAAAGAGGAAGCGAGGCGCACGUUUCUCUGUCGGCGGCUGGCUGACGUGACGUACGUCUUGUAUCGUCUGUCUGCGUCCGUGUCUGUCGUGACGGAGGUGGUGCUCUCUUUCACUUCUCUUUUUCUUUUCGUUGUGUUUGCCGCUUUAGAAAUUUUUCCGAUUGUUCCGUUUUUUUUUUCUUUUGCAUCGUUGCGACCAUUACGUGUUCGGAGGCCUCCCCCCUUCUUGGCACCUUCCUCCAUUCUAAAUAGACACACACACACGCGCACGUGCAUGCACACACUCUGCCUGUCCGACGCUGUUUUCUUGUUUCCGUCUCCCCAUCGAUCCAAUGCAAAUCUCCCAAGCGUUGCACAGGGAACGCAAAGAUGGGGGAGAGGGGAAGCAGCAGAGCUCUUGUGCUUGCUGCAGUUGUUGUUGCUAGCGUCUCCUCACACAUAAAAGGAACACAUGCGUGUUUCCAUCAUCAUCGCCUUCUCGAAUAUUUUCGGCACCUCGGGCCCUUGUGCAUGGAGGAGGUGCGUGAGUUCAUGCCGAAUCGAUGUUGCUCUGCAUUACCCUCUCACCCCCCGCCAGCCGAAGAUUUGUUCACCCUCGCAUCUAGCACGCGCUGUUGCACGUGUGAGUGCAAAACAAAGUCAAAUAAAGGGAUGUCUUGUGAGAUGCGUGAAGCGGAUGCCGGCCUCUGUGUGCCAUCGCACACAUCACAACCCCGAACCUUCUCCCCUCCGCCUUCCCGCUCCCUCUUUCUCCAUUCCUUUCUUUCGACACCAUCGCCUGCGACACUGCGUGAGUACUACACCGAUUCCUUUUCUUUUUUAUUUUCGCAUACUUCUUUUCUCGAACUCUCAG
rnacentral:misc_RNA from 1 species